rnacentral:rRNA from 1 species
UCGCAUGAACAACGCUAAAAGAUGGCUUCUCGCUAUCACUUCUGGAUGGACCUGCGGUGCAUAGCUUGUUGGUGGGGUAAYGGCCUACCAAGGCGAUGAUGCAUAGCCRAGUUGAGAGACUGAUCGGCCACAAUGGGACUGAGACACGGCCCAUACUCCUACGGGAGGCAGCAGUAGGGAAUCUUCCACAAUGGGCGCAAGCCUGAUGGAGCAACACCGCGUGAGUGAAGAAGGGUUUCGGCUCGUAAAGCUCUGUUGUUAAAGAAGAACACGUAUGAGAGUAACUGUUCAUACGUUGACGGUAUUUAACCAGAAAGUCACGGCUAACUACGUGCCAGCAGCCGCGGUAAUACGUAGGUGGCAAGCGUUAUCCGGAUUUAUUGGGCGUAAAGAGAGUGCAGGCGGUUUUCUAAGUCUGAUGUGAAAGCCUUCGGCUUAACCGGAGAAGUGCAUCGGAAACUGGAUAACUUGAGUGCAGAAGAGGGUAGUGGAACUCCAUGUGUAGCGGUGGAAUGCGUAGAUAUAUGGAAGAACACCAGUGGCGAAGGCGGCUACCUGGUCUGCAACUGACGCUGAGACUCGAAAGCAUGGGUAGCGAACAGGAUUAGAUACCCUGGUAGUCCAUGCCGUAAACGAUGAGUGCUAGGUGUUGGAGGGUUUCCGCCCUUCAGUGCCGGAGCUAACGCAUUAAGCACUCCGCCUGGGGAGUACGACCGCAAGGUUGAAACUCAAAGGAAUUGACGGGGGCCCGCACAAGCGGUGGAGCAUGUGGUUUAAUUCGAAGCUACGCGAAGAACCUUACCAGGUCUUGACAUCUUGCGCCAACCCUAGAGAUAGGGCGUUUCCUUCGGGAACGCAAUGACAGGUGGUGCAUGGUCGUCGUCAGCUCGUGUCGUGAGAUGUUGGGUUAAGUCCCGCAACGAGCGCAACCCUUGUUACUAGUUGCCAGCAUUAAGUUGG